rnacentral:rRNA from 1 species
GGCGUAAAGCGCGCGCAGGCGGUCCUUUAAGUCUGAUGUGAAAGCCCACGGCUCAACCGUGGAGGGUCAUUGGAAACUGGAGGACUUGAGUGCAGAAGAGGAAAGUGGAAUUCCAUGUGUAGCGGUGAAAUGCGUAGAGAUGUGGAGGAACACCAGUGGCGAAGGCGACUUUCUGGUCUGUAACUGACGCUGAGGCGCGAAAGCGUGGGGAGCAGACAGGAUUAGAUACCCUGGUAGUCCACGCCGUAAACGAUGAGUGCUAAGUGUUAGGGGGUUUCCGCCCCUUAGUGCUGCAGCUAACGCAUUAAGCACUCCGCCUGGGGAGUACGGCCGCAAGGCUGAAACUCAAAGGAAUUGACGGGGGCCCGCACAGGCGGUGGAGCAUGUGGUUUAAUUCGAAGCAACGCGAAGAACCUUACCAGGUCUUGACAUCCCGCUGCCCGGUGUAGAGAUACGCCUUUCCCUUCGGGGACAGCGGUGACAGGUGGUGCAUGGUUGUCGUCAGCUCGUGUCGUGAGAUGUUGGGUUAAGUCCCGCAACGAGCGCAACCCUUGAUCUUAGUUGCCAGCAUUCAGUUGGGCACUCUAAGGUGACUGCCGGUGACAAACCGGAGGAAGGUGGGGAUGACGUCAAAUCAUCAUGCCCCUUAUGAGCUGGGCUACACACGUGCUACAAUGGACGGUACAACGAGUUGCGACCCCGCAAGGGUGAGCGAAUCUUAAUAAGCCGUUCUCAGUUCGGAUUGUUCUCUGCAACUCGAGAGCAUGAAGCCGGAAUCGCUAGUAAUCGCGGAUCAGAAUG